UACGGAGGGAGCUAGCGUUAUUCGGAAUUACUGGGCGUAAAGCGCACGUAGGCGGCUUUGUAAGUUAGAGGUGAAAGCCUGGAGCUCAACUCCAGAAUUGCCUUUAAGACUGCAUCGCUUGAAUCCAGGAGAGGUGAGUGGAAGUUCCGAGUGUAGAGGUGAAAUUCGUAGAUAUUCGGAAGAACACCAGUGGCGAAGGGCGGCUC
rnacentral:rRNA from 1 species